rnacentral:lncRNA from 1 species
UCUUCCUGUGUGGAAGCUGGGAUUCCAAUGGCAGGCAGGAAAUCUUGUAGUAGGUGAUCGUGGCCUUCCUUGGGAUCCCUGUUUCCCCCUUUUAUUCCCUUUUCACCCAGUAAAACCCUGCUUUGCUCACUCUUUAAAGCAUCUGUGAGCGUAAAUUUUUGUGGCCAUGGGAUGGACAAGAACCACAUGUUUACCUGAAGUCCUGUGACAUUUUGGUGUGCAGCAUGGGAGCUCCAAAAGUGACAUUCUUUCAGAUGCCAGAGGAUGCUAUAGAAAAAUGCGUGCCCUCUUGUAAUACUUUGUUCAAGUUCUGAUCAGAAGGAUGAAUGAUGGAGCCCAAGAAGCCAGAUGCAGGCCGCUCCCCAUCUUCUGGCCAUGUUAACACCUUUGGACCUAUGGCUGUUUAUCUCCAUUAGAUUACAUAAAAUGAGUCUCAUUGUGUUGCUCAGGCUGGAAUCCAGUGGCAUGAUCUCGGCUCAGUGCAACCUCCGCCUCCUGGGUUCAAGCAGUUCUCCUAGAUCAGCAUCAGCGUCCCGAGUAGCUGGGAUUACAGGCACCCGCCACCAUGCCUGGCUAAUGUUGGUCAGGCUGGCUCGAACUCCUGACCUCAAGAGAUCCACCUGCUUUGGCCUCCCAAAGUGCUCGGAUUACAGGCAUGAGCUGCCACACCCAGCCUCCAAAUACUUUUUUUUUAAAUCAAAAUAAUGAUUUCAAUGACUGAGAUCUGUUAUGUAUUUCAACAUAAUCAUGUUUCAUAAAGAUUUAGUCUUCUGAAA